rnacentral:rRNA from 1 species
CAGUCGCCGCGGGAAUACGGAGGGUGCAAGCGUUAAUCGGAAUUACUGGGCGUAAAGCGCACGCAGGCGGUUUGUUAAGUCAGAUGUGAAAUCCCCGAGCUUAACUUGGGAACUGCAUUUGAAACUGGCAAGCUAGAGUCUUGUAGAGGGGGGUAGAAUUCCAGGUGUAGCGGUGAAAUGCGUAGAGAUCUGGAGGAAUACCGGUGGCGAAGGCGGCCCCCUGGACAAAGACUGACGCUCAGGUGCGAAAGCGUGGGGAGCAAACAGGAUUAGAUACCCGAGUAGUCCCUGUCUCUUAUAC